ACUUUGGUUGAUUGGAACAAAAGAUGUGUGAUAAUCGAAGGGAUAGCCCAAGGUCUACUUUAUCUCCACAAGCACUCUCGGCUGCGCAUCAUACACAGAGACCUUAAGGCCAGUAACAUUCUCUUGGACCAGGAAAUGAAUCCUAAAAUUUCUGAUUUUGGGCUAGCAAAAAUUUUCAGCUCCAAUGAUACUCAAGGAAGCACAAAGAAGGUGGUGGGAACAUAG
rnacentral:rRNA from 1 species